rnacentral:tRNA from 1 species
GUUGCAGCUUAGUGGUAAAGUGCUUCCCUAGCAUGUGUGAGGCCCUGGGUUCGAUCCUCAGGACCACA